UUACAGAGUUUUCUAAACUCCCAACCCUAUGUGAACUUACCUUUGUUGCUUCGGCGGCGGAGGCUACCCUGCGGGAGAAUACCACUUAGUGGUUAUCCUGUAGUUUCAGGUACAUCAGCUACCCGGUAGUCAUCCCCGCCGGCGGCCAACUAAACUCUGUUUUCUUUGGAAUUCUGAAUAACAAACUUAAUAAGUUAAAACUUUCAACAACGGAUCUCUUGGUUCUGGCAUCGAUGAAGAACGCAGCGAAAUGCGAUAAGUAAUGUGAAUUGCAGAAUUCAGUGAAUCAUCGAAUCUUUGAACGCACAUUGCGCCCAUUAGCAUUCUAGUGGGCAUGCCUGUUCGAGCGUCAUUUCACCACUUAAGCCCUGUUGCUUAGCGUUGGGAGCCUACGGCACGGCCCGUAGCUCCUUAAAGUGAUUGGCGGAGUUGGUUCUCACUCUAAGCGUAGUAACUAUAUCUCGCUUCUGUAGUGGUCCCGGCCCCUGCCGUAAAACCCCUUAUACAAAGGUUGACCUCGGAUCAGGUAGGAAUACCCGCUGAACUUAAGCAUAUCAAUAAGCGGAGGAAAAGAAACCAACAGGGAUUGCCCUAGUA
rnacentral:rRNA from 1 species